rnacentral:rRNA from 1 species
UACUCCUACGGGAGGCAGCAGUGGGGAAUAUUGGACAAUGGGCGAAAGCCUGAUCCAGCCAUGCCGCGUGUGUGAAGAAGGUCUUCGGAUUGUAAAGCACUUUAAGUUGGGAGGAAGGGCAGUAAAUUAAUACUUUGCUGUUUUGACGUUACCGACAGAAUAAGCACCGGCUAACUCUGUGCCAGCAGCCGCGGUAAUACAGAGGGUGCAAGCGUUAAUCGGAAUUACUGGGCGUAAAGCGCGCGUAGGUGGUUCGUUAAGUUGGAUGUGAAAUCCCCGGGCUCAACCUGGGAACUGCAUUCAAAACUGACGAGCUAGAGUAUGGUAGAGGGUGGUGGAAUUUCCUGUGUAGCGGUGAAAUGCGUAGAUAUAGGAAGAAACACCAGUGGCGAAGGCGACCACCUGGACUGAUACUGA